CGAAGGUAGCGUAAUCACUUGUUCUUUAAAUGAGGACUAGUAUGAAUGGCCCCACGAGGGCUGCACUGUCUCCUUUUUCUAAUCAAUGAAACUAAUCUCCCCGUGAAGAAGCGGGGAUAAUUCUAUAAGACGAGAAGACCCUAUGGAGCUUUAAACAACUGAAACACUUGCUUUUCCAUUAACCUCUUCCGAGUUCUUUACUUCACUCAAGCAUUUUUAUUUCUAGUUUUAGGUUGGGGUGACCACGGAGCAAAACUAAACCUCCACGAAGAAAUGAAUACUUUUUAAGCCACAAACUACUUUUUUAAGCAUCAACAAAUUGACCUUCAUUGACCCAAUAUAUUGAUCAACGAACCAAGUUACCCUAGGGAUAACAGCGCAAUCUACUUCAAGAGCUCGUAUCGACAAGUAGGUUUACGACCUCGAUGUUGGAUCAGGGUAUCCUAGUGGG
rnacentral:rRNA from 1 species